CCUACGGGAGGCAGCAGUGGGGAAUAUUGGACAAUGGGGGGAACCCUGAUCCAGCCAUGCCGCGUGUGUGAAGAAGGCCCUCGGGUUGUAAAGCACUUUCAGUGAGGAAGAACGCCUGGUGGUUAAUACCCAUCAGGAAAGACAUCACUCACAGAAGAAGCACCGGCUAACUCCGUGCCAGCAGCCGCGGUAAUACGGAGGGUGCGAGCGUUAAUCGGAAUUACUGGGCGUAAAGCGCGCGUAGGUGGCUUGAUAAGCCGGUUGUGAAAGCCCCGGCCUCAACCUGGGAACGGCAUCCGGAACUGUCAAGCUAGAGUGCAGGAGAGGAAGGUAGAACCCCCGGUGUAGCGGUGAAAUGCGUAGAGAUCGGGAGGAAUACCAGUGGCGAAGGCGGCCUUCUGGACUGACACUGACACUGAGGUGCGAAAGCGUGGGUAGCAAACAGGAUUAGAUACCCCUGUAGUC
rnacentral:rRNA from 1 species